rnacentral:rRNA from 1 species
AACCUUUAGUUCAACCCAAUAUUAAAGGCGACGCCUGCCCAGUGAAACUAUUCAACGGCCGCGGUACCCUAACCGUGCAAAGGUAGCGUAAUCAUUUGUCUAUUAAUUGUAGACCAGUAUGAAAGGCAACAUGAGAGCCAAACCGUCUCUUGCAACUACUCAAUUAAACUGAUCUUUUAGUCCAAAAGCUAAGAUAUACAUAUAAGACCAGAAGACCCUGUGAAGCUUAAACUAACCUGUUAAAUCAAAUAACAGCCACUUUCGGUUGGGGCGACCUUGGAACAAAAAAGAACUUCCAACAAAAUGAUAUUCUCCAUAUUAAGGCCAACAAGCCACAAUACGACCCAGUCUGCUGACUAAUGAACCAAGUUACUCCAGGGAUAACAGCGCUAUCUUCUUCAAGAGCCCAUAUCAAAAAGAAGGUUUACGACCUCGAUGUUGGAUCAGGACAUCCUAGUGGCGCAGCCGCUACUUAAGGUUCGUUUGUUCAACGAUUAACAGUCCU